UACGUAGGUGGCAAGCGUUGUCCGGAAUUAUUGGGCGUAAAGCGCGCGCAGGCGGUUCUUUUAAGUCUGAUGUGAAAGCCCACGGCUCAACCGUGGAGGGUCAUUGGAAACUGGGGAACUUGAGUACAGAAGAGGAAAGCGGAAUUCCACGUGUAGCGGUGAAAUGCGUAGAUAUCGGGAGGAACACCAGUGGCGAAGGCGACUACCUGGCCUGUUCUUGACGCUGAGGCGCGAAAGCUAGGGGAGCAAACGGG
rnacentral:rRNA from 1 species